GCUCAAAGAAGAAAGAAGAGCAGCUUAAUGUGAUUAAAGGUCAGGUGUGAAAAAAGUCAGAUCUCUGCUUCUAAAACGCUUCAGUGAGACUUUUUUCUGCUGGAUGUAAAUGAGACCAAGAGAAACAACAAGGAGUCUCCUCAGACCUCUGCCAGGUUUUACUCGGGGUCCUCCACGCAGUGCUCGGCAUCAAGGCCCUUCAGUCUUUUCCAGGUGUUAGUCAGGUUCUUCCAAACCCUUGACGGCUGUCCUUCCACCUGUGUGUCUGCUGGGAACAUCUUGGGUAACGGUAUCUGUGAGAAGUCUACUUUGGAGGAAACCAAAUGAUCCCCAGUUUCCAGAUCCUGGUCUUCAGUUUAGAUAAACCCCAAUGCAGCCUUUUGUCCGGAUCAAAGGUGAUCGGAGCAGGUGGACUCACCUGUGGCUUCACGUGUGAUUCUGAAACAUCUCAACAGACAAGACGACAGAAAGUGUUCAUGACCUCAUUUAGGAGGAGGUGUGUGCGUUUUCCCAGAAAGAGGGUGAUGGCGAGGUGGGCGUGGCCUCUGAUCUGUAAGCAGAACAAACCUGUAAAGUCUUGGAGAAACCUGGAACGGAUGCUGUGUUCCCGCUCAGCUGUUUGACUUCUUCAGCUCCGGAUCUGCUGCUUCUCUGAACGACACCUGUGAUGUUUGUUAGUAACGUUGAUCUUUGGACCGCCGGCUGUGAAGCCGUCUCUUUGGGCUCUGAGUAACUGUGACAGCAGAAUCUUUUCCUCCAUCAAUGGAAGAAAUAAUCAGCAGAUGGAUCCAGACUGAAAAGAAUCAUCAUCAACUGUCUGACACUGAACAGUUCAGAAGGAGCUGCAGCUUCAACAUUCUCCUUUCAGAACUUUUUAAAGUACAUUUUCAUGAUUGUACUAACGUCCAUGUUUCCCGCUCCGUCCCCACGCCUCCCCUCUGCAGCCACGUACCUGAAAAUGAGACGUCAGAAAGGCGAGUGAGAGAAAAACAUUCAGGCGAUCCGUUUUCUAAAAGCUUUUCUCUCCUGUGUUCAGGACGAAAGAGCAGGUGGAAAAAGGCUUUACAGGAUCAUCUGUCUGAGUUUGUUUUUAUCUGCAAAAACAGGUGGAAACAAGGGAGGACGUGUUUGUUGUUGUAAAACUCAUUUCAGCCACUAGAGGCUGCAGCGCACCACCUUUAAAUCAGGACUACCAGCAUCAUGUGUUCUGCUCUCUCAACACAGCCUUCACAACACUGUGUUUGGAGUCCAUUAUUAGGUUUAAAAAUUACAAAAUAAAACAAAUCAGUAAAACAUAAUUCAAUGAGCUAAUAGAAUCUAUGUUGUGUUUCGACUGAUUUGUAGUAAACAUGCUUUAUUUAUGUCAGUGUAAAUGUCUUACUGAGACACUGAACAAGAAUAAAAAAUAGAAUUUAUGAUAAAUUUAAAGGCAGGGAAGGCAAGUUGUUGUUUCUAAAACACUUUUUGUGAUAUUUGUUGAAACCGUCUUUAUACACCAACACAUGUUAAAAAAGUUAGGUGGUCUCAGGGCUGCAGGAGACACCGCCACUCUCUGCCAUGGCUACCAGCCCUGCUGCUACAGGAGCUGCCCCCAUGCGCCCGGUCAGCUCUGAGAUCUGACGAGCGAAGCGGUCAGACCGGAGGUGAUAUCUGUCUAGGGUGACCAGACGUCCCCGUUUUCAGAGGACAGUCCCUGGUUUUGGUGGCCUGUCCCCGGAAAUGUCCCCGUUUUUAACUGUGUGUUAAUCAUAGACUGUAUAAGGUGUUAGCAGACCUGAAGUCAGAUUCACGUGGCAGAAAGAUGGACAGCAGAUCAGACGGGUGCCGUCCGCGGGAGCUGCUUUGAUCUGGAUCAAACAGACAUGACGUGUAAAUAAACAUCACUU